GAGCUCAAAUUUGAAAGCUGGCCCCCUCGGGGUCCGCAUUGUAAUUUGCAGAGGAUGCUUCGGGAGUGGCCCCCAUCUAAGUGCUCUGGAACGGGCCGUCAUAGAGGGUGAGAAUCCCGUAUGGGAUGGGGUGUCCGCGACCAUGUGAAGCUCCUUCAACGAGUCGAGUUGUUUGGGAAUGCAGCUCUAAAUGGGUGGUAAAUUUCAUCUAAAGCUAAAUAUUGGCCGGAGACCGAUAGCGCACAAGUAGAGUGAUCGAAAGAUGAAAAGCACUUUGAAAAGAGAGUUAAAAAGCACGUGAAAUUGUUGAAAGGGAAGCGCUUGCGACCAGACUCGCCUACGGGGUUCAGCCGGUAUUCGUACCGGUGUACUUCCCCGUGGGCGGGCCAGCGUCGGUUUGGGCGGCCGGUCAAAGGCCCUCGGAAUGUAACGCCUCUCGGGGCGUCUUAUAGCCGAGGGUGCCAUGCGGCCAGCCCAGACCGAGGAACGCGCUUCGGCACGGACGCUGGCAUAAUGGUCGUAAGCGACCCGUCUUGAAACACGGACCAAGGAGUCUAACAUCUACGCGAGUGUUCGGGUGUCAAACCCGUGCGCGCAGUGAAAGCGAACGGAGGUGGGAACCCUUACGGGUGCACCAUC
rnacentral:rRNA from 1 species